rnacentral:tmRNA from 1 species
CAUGUAGAAAGCUUUUGAAGGAUAUGUUUGGACAGGGGUUCGAUUCCCCUCACCUCCACCU